UACAGAGGGUGCGAGCGUUAAUCGGAAUUACUGGGCGUAAAGCGCGCGUAGGCGGCUUUGCAAGUCGAGUGUGAAAUCCCCAGACUUAACCUGGGAACUGCAUUCGAGACUGCAUAGCUAGAGUAUGGGAGAGGGAAGUGGAAUUUCAGGUGUAGCGGUGAAAUGCGUAGAUAUCUGAAGGAACAUCAGUGGCGAAAGCGACUUCCUGGACCAAUACUGACGCUCAUGUGCGAAAGCGUGGGGAGCAAACAGG
rnacentral:rRNA from 1 species